UCUUGUCCAUCCGUGUUACUGAAAUGGGCCUUCUCCAUGAACUAUUUUGUUGUUCAUGGUGCCUUUGAUUAACCAUCAGCUGUUAGUAAUCACGCUUGGGUUGAU